rnacentral:rRNA from 1 species
CAGCGCCGCGGUAAUACGAAGGGGGCUAGCGUUGCUCGGAAUCACUGGGCGUAAAGGGUGCGUAGGCGGGUCUUUAAGUCAGGGGUGAAAUCCUGGAGCUCAACUCCAGAACUGCCUUUGAUACUGAAGAUCUUGAGUUCGGGAGAGGUGAGUGGAACUGCGAGUGUAGAGGUGAAAUUCGUAGAUAUUCGCAAGAACACCAGUGGCGAAGGCGGCUCACUGGCCCGAUACUGACGCUGAGGCACGAAAGCGUGGGGAGCAAACAGGAUUAGAUACCCCCGUAGUCCCUGUCUCUUAUACA